AAAAUGUUUAAGAGCGAAUCCAAAGAAAAAGCGUGUAGAUCGGUGGGCAAAAACGUACUAUCCGGAUGCAUAAAACACAUUCAACCAAGAGGAGAAUACGAGAUGGACUGCAGCUCGAUGUUUCCGAAGAUGAACAAUCGUCACGAGCCACUGCAGACAGCGAAUGGAACCAACAAGAACAAUUCGAACAUUUCAAUCAAGUUAUUCGUGAACUUCCUGACAGAGCCAUGGAUUUACCGAUUGACCUAAGAACGUUUCAUCUUCGUCGGUCAAGGGACGUUAAGAUUGCAAAAGAGCCAAUACCGAGCGACACGACCGGCAACGAAAAUAAAAUCGAGCAAUCAAACGGGAAAUCGACAGCUUUAAUCAGCCCCGAGAAGAAAGAGAGCCCCAUGAAUCCGUACAAUCGGGCGGAUUGGUCGAAAAUGAACGCGAAAUGGUCAAUUCCGGACACGGAGGACAAUGAGAUCAACAGUGUUAACAGUUUGUCGCAGCUUGACUGUGGUGCAUUCCCGAAAUCGUACAUGGACACGUGUUCCUGUUGCCCCCGGGAUAUCUUUGACAAGCACGAUACGGAUACCAUUACCAGUUACAAGGGUGUUACGUUCAAAGACGGUGGUUGUUGCAAGCUCCACUGGACAAGGAAGGAACGUUAUCAAAACAUCAAGACGAAAGUCGGUAGAGCUAUCAAGAGGCACAAAAUAUUUUUGAUACGCGGCGAAUUGCCGAAAUUGAAGGAAGCUUUGGAGAAAAGAGGUUGGGUGCAGAAAUACGAAGCCACAAAAACAAGAACUCUACCUUACGGUAGCGUUGCGAGCUUAGAGGCAAGAUCGUUAGGCGAUUUGACCCAACCCGAUGGCACGUUGAACGAGAAAUCGGUGGUUUUCGCUUUGUUGCGCCACAAAGCUCCGGAUUUUAUAUGGGAUUGUCGAAACGACUUCGUCGACUGGCAUCGUGGUUUGAGCAGCAACACCAUUCUCAACAGAUACCAGAAGCCUUCCGUCUACACAUCCAAGCUAGGAAUGGCUCGUUUGCUGGAAGAGGCUCAUUGGUUGUACGAGAAGGACGUCUCGAGUGUGUUGUUUCCGCGCAGCUACAACUUGAGCAGGGAACCGAAAGCUUUCCUCGAUGAUUUCCGUUUGACCGCCGCGGUCGGUCUGCUCAAGUGGUUCGUCCAAACGAUGCGAGACGAUCAGACCGCGGUACAGAACCACGGGCAACGUCUGAUACCGAUAAGUCGGCUGGAAUUCGCCGUAAAACGUUGCGAGGAAUUUAUAGCCUGCGAAAACCACCAGGAUAUAGACGAGGACUUUGUCAGCGAGUUUUCGGAAGAGGAAUGGAAUUCCUUCUUGGACGAUUAUGCAGCUGCGGUGCACGAGUCGGGUAGAAUCGAAACCACGUCGGAUAGAGGCGAGGAACAGUUACAAAAGUAUCACGAGGUGGCAAAUUCGACGCUGGAGAAAUUGAAAGAGGUCGAUCCGCAGUACGAGCUGAACGGAAUGAGGAACAUCUGGAUCUUGAAACCGAGCGAACUUUGUUGCGGCACCGGGAUCAGUAUAUCUCAUAAUCUGAGGGAUAUAUUUCGAAGAGUGAAGAGUAAACCGAAGGAUUAUUUCAUCGUUCAGAAAUAUAUUGAACGUCCUCUGUUGAUUCACGACACGAAAUUUGACAUAAGGCAAUGGUACCUGGUCACCAAUACGUUCCCCAUGACGAUAUGGUUGUUCAAGGAGGGACUGCUCCGGUUCAGCUCGAAGCCGUACACUUUUUCAACUUAUCACGAGGCGAUUCAUAUCUGCAAUACCGCCAUUCAGGAAAAGUACGACGAGGAAAGACGACGGAGGAGGAGACGCGGGACUUCGGAGGAAGUCGUAAAGACGAUCCGCGAUCAGGGAUGGGACUGCGACAAGCUGAACGAAUAUUUAAAACAAACGGGGUACGAGGGUGAACCGUAUUACGAGAAGAUCUAUCCGAAAAUGUCAGAGGCUAUAGUUCUAACGAUGUUAGCCUCUCAGGAGCACAUGGACAGACGGCGAUGCAGUUUCGAGCUGUACGGAGCGGAUUUCGUCGUGAUGGAGGACCUUUCGGUCUGGUUGAUCGAGAUCAACACGAAUCCCAGGAUGCACCCGCCUAGCUCGAGAAUCACCAAACGGCUGUAUUCCAACGUGCUCGAGAGCUUGGUUAAAGUGAUAAUGGACGUACCGGUGAACGCUGUCGCCGACACAGGUGGAUUCAGUCUGGUCUACAAGCAAAACAUACCCGACUUCCGGCCUUAUCUCGGUCCUUGUCUGUUCGUGUUCGGCAAGUCGAUAACGUUGCAGGAACAUCCGCGGAAACGCGAGAAGAAGAAGAAGGGAAACUGUUCGUCGAAGCAACAGCAGCAACAGCAACAGCAACACCGUGCAUGGACUGCUCCACCGAUGAUUCCACGCUUGAGAGAACCAAAAAUAGUCGACUUUAUCGACUACUUGAACACCGCCCGGUGCACCGCCGCCAACUGAUGCGCCUGCUUGUUAUCCUCCAUGCAUCCGCCCACCCCCGACUACAGCCUCUUUCAAAAACGAUUCGUCGAGGGCGCUUUUCAAUUUCAAUGCGUCGCAUAGGUGGAACGUUUGGAACAAUUAAGAGAAA